ensembl:lncRNA
GGAGAAGAGACAACUAGGUCUGUAUAGAUUAGAUCAUGGUGGUCUGCAUACAAAGACUUGUUGCCAAAGAGUGGAUGAUGGGGGGACCACAGCCAAACAUCAGGACAGAAGUCUGCAUGAAUCAGCAGCUACAUAUACCCCAAAGGCUCUUUUAAGAGCCACAUAACGAGAGCGUCUUUGGCUUUUGGCACCUACAUACAACCCAAAGGCUCUUUUCAGAGCCACAUCGCCCAGCGUCCUUGGCUUUAUUUUGCAUCUUCUACUGCCGCCACCUCUGAUUUUUGUUCUUACAAUCUUUUUUUUCAAGGCAAGUAAUGAUCCUUAGCUUCAUUUAAAGGUGUUCAAGUUUGAUAUUUGCAAUUUAAUUUCCUUUGAACUGUAAAUAACAUACCCAAGUAAUAUUCUAUCAAUGAAUAUGCAUUGUAAGUGCCUACUUGCCUAAGAUUAACAAGGCAUUAACAUUGAUUUCUUACUGUUUUUGUCCACUACAGUUCUCUCAUUUCGCCUUCGACACUUAAAGGUAAGAUAUUUGCAAAGUUUACAUUUAAGUACUAUUUAAUUAGUUUAAAUAAAACUAAUCAAGUAAUAUAUUACAUACAUUAUACUUUGGGAAGUACAAGUACCUUGCAGGGGAUUUGUCCUUAGUGUUGAAAGAUCACAAAAGGACCAAAAAAUGUUUUAAAACUUUACUUCAUAACAUUUACUGUCAAUCAGUUGUCACUUACUAUUUUAGGAAAAUAAGCUUGAUAUUAAUUUUACUGACAUUCAAGUUCAGAAUGGGGCAAAAAGAAUGUUAAAAUGAAAUCUUACUUAAAUCUUAUCAAUAAAAUGUCUUUGGUCCUUUAAAUAUAGCAGUAGUAUAUAUAUGUAUGAUUGUCUUCUGGACAACUGUCAGAUCAGCAGUCUUCCCCAUGAUUGUGUAG